UACGGGGGGUGCGAGCGUUGUCCGGAAUCACUGGGCGUAAAGAGUGCGUAGGCGGUUUUCUAAGUUUGGUGUGAAAUCUCCCGGCUUAACUGGGAGGGUGCGCCGAAAACUGGAAGGCUUGAGUAUGGGAGAGGUAAGCGGAAUUCCUGGUGUAGCGGUGAAAUGCGUAGGUAUCAGGAGGAACACCUGCGGUGUAGACGGCUUACUGGACCAUAACUGACGCUGAGGCACGAAAGCGUGGGGAGCAAACAGG
rnacentral:rRNA from 1 species